rnacentral:pre_miRNA from 1 species
AGUGCAUGUCAUAACGAGCAGUUGAGAGGCCUUAGCAUAUCAUUAGCAUGUUACGCUUUGAUUGUUUGAAUGGCCAACUGGAC